rnacentral:rRNA from 1 species
AGCGAACGCUGGCGGCAGGCCUAACACAUGCAAGUCGAACGAACCUUUCGGGGUUAGUGGCGGACGGGUGAGUAACACGUGGGAACGUGCCUUUAGGUUCGGAAUAACUCAGGGAAACGUGUGCUAAUACCGAAUGUGGCCUUCGGGGGAAAGAUUUAUCGCCUUUAGAGCGGCCCGCGUCUGAUUAGCUAGUUGGUUGAGGUAAUGGCUCACCAAGGCGACGAUCAGUAGCUGGUCUGAGAGGAUGAUCAGCCACAUUGGGACUGAGACACGGCCCAAACUCCUACGGGAGGCAGCAGUGGGGAAUCUUGCGCAAUGGGCGAAAGCCUGACGCAGCCAUGCCGCGUGAAUGAUGAAGGUCUUAGGAUUGUAAAAUUCUUUCACCGGGGACGAUAAUGACGGUACCCGGAGAAGAAGCCCCGGCUAACUUCGUG